UACGUAGGUGGCAAGCGUUGUCCGGAUUUACUGGGCGUAAAGAGCGCGCAGGCGGUCGUUCAAGUCGCGUGUGAAAGCCCCCGGCUCAACUGGGGAGGGUCACGCGAUACUGAUCGACUCGAAGGCAGGAGAGGGAAGUGGAAUUCCCGGUGUAGUGGUGAAAUGCGUAGAUAUCGGGAGGAACACCAGUGGCGAAGGCGGCGAUCUGGGCAGACACUGACGCUGAGGUGCGAAAGCGUGGGGAGCAAACAGG
rnacentral:rRNA from 1 species